CUACGGGUGGCAGCAGUGGGGAAUAUUGGACAAUGGGGGAAACCCUGAUCCAGCAAUGCCGCGUGUGUGAAGAAGGCCUGCGGGUUGUAAAGCACUUUCGGUUGGGAGGACUGCUUCUAGCACUAAUAUUGUUGGAAGUUGACGUUACCUUCAGAAGAAGCACCGGCUAACUCCGUGCCAGCAGCCGCGGUAAUACGGAGGGUGCAUGCGUUAAUCGGAAUUACUGGGCGUAAAGCGCGCGUAGGCGGCUAGAUCAGUCGGGUGUGAAAGCCCCGGGCUUAACCUGGGAACUGCAUCCGAUACCGUCUAGCUUGAGUACAGGAGAGGAGAGUGGAAUUCCACAUGUAGCGGUGAAAUGCGUAGAUAUGUGGAGGAACACCAAUGGCGAAGGCAGCUCUCUGGCCUGAUACUGACGCUGAGGUGCGAAAGCGUGGGGAGCAAACAGGAUUAGAUACCCCCGUAGUC
rnacentral:rRNA from 1 species